UGCAAGUCGAGCGGACAGAAGGGAGCUUGCUCCCGGAUGUUAGCGGCGGACGGGUGAGUAACACGUGGGUAACCUGCCUGUAAGACUGGGAUAACUCCGGGAAACCGGAGCUAAUACCGGAUAGUUCCUUGAACCGCAUGGUUCAAGGAUGAAAGACGGUUUCGGCUGUCACUUACAGAUGGACCCGCGGCGCAUUAGCUAGUUGGUGAGGUAACGGCUCACCAAGGCGACGAUGCGUAGCCGACCUGAGAGGGUGAUCGGCCACACUGGGACUGAGACACGGCCCAGACUCCUACGGGAGGCAGCAGUAGGGAAUCUUCCGCAAUGGACGAAAGUCUGACGGAGCAACGCCGCGUGAGUGAUGAAGGUUUUCGGAUCGUAAAGCUCUGUUGUUAGGGAAGAACAAGUGCAAGAGUAACUGCUUGCACCUUGACGGUACCUAACCAGAAAGCCACGGCUAACUACGUGCCAGCAGCCGCGGUAAUACGUAGGUGGCAAGCGUUGUCCGGAAUUAUUGGGCGUAAAGGGCUCGCAGGCGGUUUCUUAAGUCUGAUGUGAAAGCCCCCGGCUCAACCGGGGAGGGUCAUUGGAAACUGGGAAACUUGAGUGCAGAAGAGGAGAGUGGAAUUCCACGUGUAGCGGUGAAAUGCGUAGAGAUGUGGAGGAACACCAGUGGC
rnacentral:rRNA from 1 species